AGGUUGAAAUUCCUGUACUGCAGUAUAACAGAACUGUGGGGACGCAGAGGGAGAGCACUAGCGGGAAUGGAAUCCCGCGGCAAGCGAGGUAGGAGUCGCGCUGGCAAAUCCGCGUGACAAUCCGAAGACGUGAUGCAUACCGAACUGAAGUAGGGAAAUGUGUGAGCCAGCUGCCAAGAAAAGCCGCUAUUGUUUGUACUGUACCCGUACCGUAAACCGACACAGGUAGGUGAGGAGAGAAUCCUAAGGCCGACGGGAGAAGCGUUGUUAAGGAACUCGGCAAAAUGACUCCGUAACUUCGGGAGAAGGAGUGCCAGUGAGAGCUGGCCGCAGAGAAUUGGCCCAAGCAACUGUUUAGCAAAAACACAGGUCUAUGCAAAACCGUAAGGUGAAGUAUAUGGGCUGACGCCUGCCCGGUGCUGGAAGGUUAAGGGGAGAGGUUAGCGCAAGCGAAGCUUUGAACUUAAGCCCCAGUAAACGGCCCGUAACAAUAACGGUCCUAAGGUAGCGAAAUUCCUUGUCGGGUAAGUUCCGACCCGCACGAAAGGCGUAAUGAUUUGGGCACUGUCUCAACAAUGCACCCGGUGAAAUUGAAAUACCAGUGAAGAUGCUGGUUACCUGCGCCAGGACGGAAAGACCCCAUGGAGCUUUACUCCAGCUUGAUACUGGGAUUCGAUAUUGUAUGUACAGGAUAGGUGGGAGGCGAAGAAGCAUUGACGCCAGUUGAUGCGGAGCCGCUGUUGGGAUACCACCCUUGCAGUAUUGGAUUUCUAACCAGCAGCCGUGACCCGGCUGGGGGACAAUGUCAGGUGGGGAGUUUGACUGGGGCGGUCGCCUCCGAAAGGGUAUCGGAGGCGCUCAAAGGUUCCCUCAGAAUGGUUGGAAACCAUUCGAAGAGUGCAAAGGCAGAAGGGAGCUUGACUGCGACACCGACGGGUGGAGCAGGUACGAAAGUAGGACUUAGUGAUCCGGUGGUAUAGAGUGGGAUUGCCAUCGCUCAACGGAUAAAAGCUACCCUGGGAUAGCAGGCUUAUCACUCCCAAGAGUUCACAUCGACGGAGUGGUUUGGCACCUCGAUGUCGGCUCAUCGCAUCCUGGGGCUGAAGUAGGUCCCAAGGGUUGGGCUGUUCGCCCAUUAAAGCGGUACGCGAGCUGGGUUCAGAACGUCGUGAGACAGUUCGGUCCCUAUCCGGCGUGGGCGUAGGAUAUUUGAGAGGAGCUGGCCUUAGUACGAGAGGACCGGGCUGGACUGACCGCUGGUGUAUCUGUUGUUCCGCCAGGAGCAUGGCAGAGUAGCCAAGUCAGGAAGGGAUAAACGCUGAAGGCAUCUAAGCGUGAAGCCCCCCUCAAGAUGAGAUAUCCCAACGCAAGUUGUAAGACCCCUUGAAGACGACAAGGUAGAUAGGGCAGAGGUGGAAGUGCAGUAAUGCAUGGAGCUGACUGUUACUAAUCGGUCGAGGGCAUAACC
rnacentral:rRNA from 1 species